UCCCCGUUACCGGGGCAGUCUAGCUAGAAAAAUCCAACUAACUAUAAGGGUUGCGCUCGUUGAUGGACUUAACCAAACAUCUCACGACACGAGCUGACGACGGCCAUGCAACACCUGUCUCUACGGCCCGAAGGCACUCUCUCCUUUCGGUGAGAUUAGUAGGAUGUCAAACCUUGGUAAGGUUCUUCGCUUAUCGUCGAAUUAAACAACACGCUCCACCGCUUGUGCGGGUCCCCGUCAAUUCCUUUAUGUUUUAAGCUUGCGCUCGUACUCCACAGGCGGGAUGCUUAACGCGUUAGCUUCGCUACUACCAGGGUCGAUACUGAUAACAGCUAGCAUCCAUAGUUUACGGCGUGGACUAC
rnacentral:misc_RNA from 1 species